rnacentral:rRNA from 1 species
UUCCUACGGGAGGCAGCAGUGGGGGAUAUUGCACAAUGGGGGGAACCCUGAUGCAGCGACGCCGCGUGGGCGAUGGAGUGCUUCGGCAUGUAAAGCCCUAUCAGCAGGGAAGAAAAUGACGGUACCUGACUAAGAAGCCCCGGCUAAAUACGUGCCAGCAGCCGCGGUAAUACGUAGGUGGCAAGCGUUGUCCGGAUUUACUGGGUGUAAAGGGCGUGCAGCCGGGAAGACAAGUCAGAUGUGAAAUCCCGCGGCUCAACCGCGGAACUGCAUUUGAAACUGUUUUUCUUGAGUACCGGAGAGGU